UACGUAGGGUGCGAGCGUUGUCCGGAAUUACUGGGCGUAAAGGGUUCGUAGGUGGCCAACUAAGUCAUACGUGAAAUCCCUCAGCUUAACUGGGGAACUGCGUCUGAUACUGGUUGGCUUGAGUGCAGGAGAGGAACGCGGAAUUCCAGGUGUAGCGGUGAAAUGCGUAGAUAUCUGGAGGAACACCGGUGGCGAAGGCGGCGUUCUGGACUGCAACUGACACUGAGGAACGAAAGCCAGGGGAGCAAACGGG
rnacentral:rRNA from 1 species